CCCCUUCCCCCCCCCCCCAAGAUAAAAGAUGGCCGGAGACCGGACCGUGUGUCCUCGUGGGUCAUGAGCAAAUGUUUGUUUGCUUGCUUGCUUGGUCCCCCAAAAAUGAACGGCGUGUUCGGUCCACAGAGUCGCUUGCGGUGGUGGAUGAGAGCAAAAAAACUGCUCCAGCGACUGUAUAAAUUUUUUCCUGCCACCAAAAACCCAGGCUCUCUGAAACGGACAGCAGGUGGCGGUGCGGGACCGCGGUUGAGUCCAGUUUAGUGAAGAGAUCGGGGUGGAAGAAGUAAUUCGGGGCUCAGAAGCAGUCGGACGGCAAGAGGAAAAGGACAAAAUCAAGACGAAAGGAUAACGAGCAGAGCGGGAUGCCACCGAAGCAAGGGCUGACGAAAAGGCCAAGUUCCACAGAAGCGGCCUACAGAUGAGUAAAUUUUCAUGCAUCUGUAAGGGCAGAUGAGGACGGAGCCUCGGUUGAGCGUAGGCGCGGUUUGUCAGGAAGGCAGGUUGUAGAGGUUUCGGUUGGACUCGGUUUGGUCGGUAGGAUUGUAGAAUGGCGGUCGAGGUAGUUGUUGGCUCGGUCUGGAGCGGUGAAGAGCGCAGGCUUUGAAAUGAGGACUUGCUAGCGAGCGACGCAAUGUUUGAGUAUCAAUCAACAGGUCAUCGGCGCCAAGGUCAACCCGGAGUGGCAUCAGGUGAGUGUGCAAUUGAAAUA